AGCGCCCCUCUUUCCCAGUGCCCUCUCUUCCCAUAUCUCCCAUGCCACACCAGGGGCCCUAUUCUGUUCUCAGCUCCUCCGUAUCCAGCCUGGGAUGCUGGAGACUGAGAACCUGGUACCGGGGCCUGCCCCUUGUCCACCACCUGCUGUGUGGGGUCAGUGGCUUCACACAGCCAGAUACCUACCUGGGACUGCGUGGAAAGCGUCCAGCAGUCCUCCCGUGUCUGCCGGCUCAGAGCACUGGAACUCUGGCAGGACUCAGGCUCUCUCCCUCCCUCCUCUUUCCCACCCACCCACGGUCCGGCAGAGAAACACACCAAGAAACUUCUGGUGGUGUGCCGAGCUUCUUGUCGUUUCCAAGGACUCAAGCUGAUUGGAUGCACGUGCUGAGACAAGAGCCAUCCAGAGGCAAGGCACGUGGAGGAAACGGGAUGUUUGGAGGGUAUAAAUAGGACUCCAUGGGGUGAAGGAGACAAGUGACAGCUUGGCUUGUUGGUACAGCUAGCUGUGCAACACUUUUGUCUUGAUCUUCACUUCCGUGAGAGAGGCACAGCCUCUCCUGGUGUUCCUCCUGGUCUCUCCUGCUAACUCAUGGCAAGGCUGAAGCCUGGCUGUCUCUGCUAGGUCGUGUCACUGCUGUUGCUAUCCUGACUGGACUGAACUGGACUGCUGGUGUAUCUGUGAGGUGUUUGCGAAUGGAUUGAGCUGCCACUGCCUGCUGACCUGUGAACUCAACUGCUGAUUUCCAGACAACACAGACAGGAGUUGUUGCAAAGAGCCUUUAUAGACAGGCCCGCGCCCCCUUCCCCGCUCCUGUAUCAUUUCUUUUCCAUUACCUCUGGUGGGUGGUGGGUUACAAGAGAGGUUAAAGCAUUUAGGAACCAUCAUUAAAAACAGGGUUUGAC
rnacentral:lncRNA from 1 species